ACCUUAAAACUAGCUUAACCAAUAAUUAAACAUAACCUUAUUAAUUAAAUUCACACUCUUCCAAAAAUUAAAACAUUUUAUAACUUUUAGUAUAGGUGAUAGAACAAAGAACCAAGCGCAAUAGAUUUAAGUACCACAAGGGAAAGUUGAAAAAGAAAUGAAAUAAAUAACUAAAGUACAGAAAAGCAGAGAUUAAAACUCGUACCUUUUGCAUCAUGAUUUAGCUAGAUCAACUAGACAAAGAGACCUUAAGCCUAUCAUCCCGAAACUAGACGAGCUACUCCGGAGCAGCAUAAAAGAGCGAACCCAUCUCUGUGGCAAAAGAGUGGAAAGACCCCCGAGUAGCGGUGACAAACCUAUCGAGCCUAGUGAUAGCUGGUUACCCAAAAAAAGAACUUAAAUUCUGCAUUAAUUUUUUAAAUGUCAACUAAAAAUUUUCCCAAAGACUAAACAUAAAAAUUAAUAGUUAUUCAAAAAAGGUACAACUUUUCUGAACCAAGAUACAACUUUUCAAGGUGGGUAAUGAUUAUACUUAUCAAGGAUCCCUCCCUCAGUGGGCCUAAAAGCAGCCAUCUGUAAAGCAAGCGUCAUAGCUCCAGCCCAUAAUAAGCCUAUAAUUUAAAUAUUAAUUCCAAACCCCCUUAAUUAAUAUUGGGUUAUUUUAUAAAAUUAUAAAAGAACUUAUGCUAAAAUGAGUAAUAAGAGGCUAAACCUCUCCCAACACCAGUGUAUAUCAGAAAGAAUUAAAUCACUGAUAAUUAAACGACCUCAAACUGAGAAAAUUAUAGAAAUUUAAUAUCAAACUAGAAAACCCUAUUUAAUUACUCGUUAAUCCUACACAGGAGUG
rnacentral:rRNA from 1 species